UACGUAGGGUGCGAGCGUUGUCCGGAAUUAUUGGGCGUAAAGAGCUCGUAGGCGGUUUGUCGCGUCGGUUGUGAAAACUGGAGGCUUAACCUUCAGCGUGCAAUCGAUACGGGCAGACUUGAGUUCGGUAGGGGAGUCUGGAAUUCCUGGUGUAGCGGUGAAAUGCGCAGAUAUCAGGAGGAACACCGGUGGCGAAGGCGGGACUCUGGGCCGAUACUGACGCUGAGGAGCGAAAGCGUGGGGAGCGAACAGG
rnacentral:rRNA from 1 species